rnacentral:lncRNA from 1 species
AGGGCAGGGAGAGCCCCUAGGCGAUGGAGGACGGACGCUCCCUGGACCUCUGGGCGGCUCUCCAGCUCCCGAGACCUUCCUCCUUCAGCCGGCCGCGCCGAUGACCACGGCUCCUCCGGCGUCCCCGGCCGCAGCUCCGCUGCCUCCGCUGCCCGGCUCGCCCGGGAAACUUUCCCAGGCUCCUCCGAGAAACGCUGCCGCCAGCACUCUCCGGCCCGAGAGACAGCCGUCAGCGACCCGGAUGGAGCGGGAGGGGAAGGGCUGGCGGUUCCGGAACAGUGUUGGCUCACGUUUUCAGCUAACUCCUUGGAAGAUAUGAGGUUAAAUUACCCAAACUCUUACACUCAGAGAAAAACAGGGCUUACAGCUACAGUUCCUGCUUCAUGAAAACUAAAUCCAGAUUUCACAGGCCAAUUUUAACAUCAUCUUGAUACUAAAUCUGUCUGUUGUGUCUCAAAAAA